UUAGUGGAAGCGUCUGGAAAGGCGCGCGAUACAGGGUGACAGCCCCGUACACAAAAGCGCAUGUGCUGUGAGCUCGAUGAGUAGGGCGGGACACGUGGUAUCCUGUCUGAAUAUGGGGGGACCAUCCUCCAAGGCUAAAUACUCCUGACUGACCGAUAGUGAACCAGUACCGUGAGGGAAAGGCGAAAAGAACCCCGGCGAGGGGAGUGAAAAAGAACCUGAAACCGUGUACGUACAAGCAGUGGGAGCACAGGUUUACCUGUGUGACUGCGUACCUUUUGUAUAAUGGGUCAGCGACUUAUAUUCUGUAGCAAGGUUAACCGMAUAGGGGAGCCGGAGGGAAACCGAGUCUUAAUUGGGCGUUAAGUUGCAGGGUAUAGACCCGAAACCCGGUGAUCUAGCCAUGGGCAGGUUGAAGGUUGGGUAACACUAACUGGAGGACCGAACCGACUAAUGUUGAAAAAUUAGCGGAUGACCUGUGGCUGGGGGUGAAAGGCCAAUCAAACCGGGAGAUAGCUGGUUCUCCCCGAAAGCUAUUUAGGUAGCGCCUCGUGAAUUCAUCUCCGGGGGUAG
rnacentral:rRNA from 1 species